AGCAGCCGCGGUAAUUCCAGCUCCAAUAGCGUAUAUUAAAGUUGUUGCAGUUAAAAAGCUCGUAGUUGAAUUUCGGGGUCAGUAGGUUGGUCGUGCCACUGGUAUGUACUGGCUUCACCGAUUCCUCCCUCUUGUAGAACCGUAAUGCCAUUAAUUUGGUGUUGCAGGGAAACAGGACUGUUACUUUGAAAAAAUUAGAGUGUUUAAAGCAGGCUAACGCUUGAAUACAUUAGCAUGGAAUAAUGAAAUAGGACGUUUGAUCCUAUUUUGUUGGUUUCUAGGAUUGACGUAAUGAUUAAUAGGGAUAGUUGGGGGCAUUAGUAUUCAAUUGUCAGAGGUGAAAUUCUUGGAUUUAUUGAAGACUAACUACUGCGAAAGCAUUUGCCAAGGAUGUUUUCAUUAAUCAAGAACGAAAGUUAGGGGAUCGAAGACGAUCAGAUACCGUCCGUAGUCUUAACCAUAAACUAUAGCCGACUAGGGAUCGGAUGAUGUUAAUUUUUAAUGACUCAUUCGGCGCCUU
rnacentral:rRNA from 1 species